rnacentral:rRNA from 1 species
ACGGUCCCAGUUCGAAUUGAAGGCUGAAAUUCGCCUUCAUGAAGUCGGAAUUGCUAGUAAUGGCAGGUCAGCAUACUGCCGUGAAUACGUUCCCGGGCCUUGUACACACCGCCCGUCACACCAUGGGAGCCGGUAAUACCCGAAGUCAGUAGUCCAACCACGUGAGGACGCUGCCGAAGGUGGGGUUGAUGAUUAGGGUUAAGUCGUAACAAGGUACC